UAAACAUGGAGAUUUCUUAAAGAAGUGUGUGCCCGUCGAUCCAUAGCUGCUACGCAAAGAACGCGCUGCUCGAUCAAAUCAACCGAGGGAUGAGAGGAGAAAGGUCUCCGCCGAACUCCGCUUCCCCACCGCCGCCGAGCUGCCCGCUCCCCUCGCUCCAGAUCGAACUCCAUCCGGACCAGCCCAUCACGUCGAUCCCUUCGCCGGCCGUCUACUCCGCUCAACGCCGUCUCGCUGGACGCUCCUUCUCUCUUCUGCGCCUGGCCUUCCACCACAACCCGGCGUCUCACUGUCGCCGGCGGCCAUCACCAGGUCGCCGCCUCCCAAACUCACCUACAGAUCGACUGGUACUCAGGAGAAUAGCAGAUCAGUACCUCUGGCCCUAAAAUCCCAUGUUCUUUUCUCUGGUCCGUUGAAUAUUUUUGGAAUCACAUAUGUUUUAUUUAUAUGAUGCAAUUUCUGCCAAAUUCGCAGAUAAUUUAGAAAGUGUGUUGCAUGAGUAAUCUUGAAUUCUUCUGUCAAUUUUGCUGUUGUCAUUUUUUGUUAGUUCAACAGGAAAACGAAUGUGAUGCACAUUGUAAGCUGCCAUGGACUGCUGAUACGACUCAUGCAUUACUUCAUGGUUCAUUAUGAGAGACGUGCAUUAACUUGGCAAUAUCAAAACUGGUGUUCCAUGAAACAACAUUCAUGCAGUCACACGCCGAUGUGCAUCACGAACGUUGACAUGACUGGAUCAUUUAGUGUCAGAAAUAAUCUUAUAUUCUAGGAUGGAGGGAGUACCAUACCACUGUUUGUGCCUGAUUCGACAUCUAGGCUCUUUGAAGUCAUAAUAUCCAGCUUCACCUUCACACGUCGACGUUCUACCAUGACUGUGCAAUAUAUUUCAAGGCCCAUGAUAAAACUGAAAGAGGAUCAUGGGUUUUAUAGCUCAUGGUGGCCGGGUUUUGCUAGCGUUGUGGUCCAUGCAUACCAAUUCUUUGAAUCAGUUCCACCGUGCAGUGAUGUAAGAAAAAGGUGUGUCGUUUGUCGACUGUGGGCAAUGGAGUAAUGUAGAUGUACUAUAGAGUACAUAUCCAAGAGAACAGUGAGGUGACUUUAGAUAGCUGUAAUGAGCUGAUGGAGCCUUUGACCUGAAGUUAUAUUUGUAUAGAUUACAUGAUUUGUUGAUGAGGAUAAUAAGGAGGAGCUGAUGGCAAACCAACCAAGGAAGGUCACGGAAGAUUGAGGUUGGGCACGAUGCCACAUCAGAAGUUAUUAGGCUAUGGGUGAGUUAGGGGCCAUGGAGGAGUGAGCCGAUAGGAGGGUCAAGUAUGGUGCAUACAUGUCAACAUUGGUAGUCAGAACUUGAUGAUGAGUGCAGAUGGGAAUGAUGGAAUGAGGACGGGCGUGCUGCAGUCCAGCAAUUUGUCAUUGCCAAAUGAUUCAAUCCCGGUGAGGUCAUUGCUGGAUAUGCAAGGUCUCACUGGGCAAGGUAUUCGAAGUUCUUAAGUGCUUAGGAACCUCGCUGUGUUUUCGUAUUGACGUGAUUAGCAAGUGUAUUUACCGAAGCAUAGAUGUAAUGUGGGUUAUGUGCAGCACCGAAUCUGAGGUGGCUGCAAUCCAGUCGGUUCUGGCAUCGGAGAGUUAAGAGUGAAUCAGACUUAAUCAGAUGGCAUCGACACUGUGCCAAUACGUACUUUUGAUUCUUAUCCUAGAUGAUCUCAUUUAAAGUUGUUGCGGUUUGUUAAAAUCAUUCUUGAUAAGCUACACAACGCUUCAUGUAUUGCACUACUAAUGUCGUUUAUUGCACUAAUAUCCUGUUCCACUCGUAUA